CCAAGUGUGUGUUUAGGGGGGUACCUGUGACCCCAAGGCCCCACAGGGGGUAUUACAAUGAUCCUUGAGUUCUGCCGUCCACAGACAGCUACGUGUUAACAGCUCAGUUGGCCCAUUGCCUCGUCAUGUGGGGCAGCUGUCCACCAGCGAGGGCAAAGGGCCAUUGUGACAUUUUGGCCUGCAUGGUGGCUCACACCAGUAAUCCCAGCAAUUUGGGCGGCCGAGGUGAGUGUCCACAAUUCAGAUGAGCCAGUUUAUCAAUCUGAGUGGUGCCAGCAGAUCCAUCAAGUGCAGGGUCUGCAAAAUAUCUCAAGCACU
rnacentral:lncRNA from 1 species